UCCGAAGGGUGCGAUCGUUGUUCGGAAUUAUUGGGCGUAAAGGGUUCGUAGGCGGGAGAGCAAGUUGAGUGUGAAAACCCCGGGCUUAACCUGGGACGUGCACUCAAGACUGUUUUUCUUGAGUAUGGGAGAGGGUGGUGGAAUUGCUGGUGUAGGAGUGACAUCCGUAGAGAUCAGCAGGAACGCCGGAGGCGAAAGCGACCACCUGGUCCAAAACUGACGCUGAGGAACGAAAGCGUGGGGAGAAAACAGG
rnacentral:rRNA from 1 species